GUGGGGAAUCUUGCGCAAUGGGCGAAAGCCUGACGCAGCCAUGCCGCGUGAAUGAUGAAGGUCUUAGGAUUGUAAAAUUCUUUCACCGGGGACGAUAAUGACGGUACCCGGAGAAGAAGCCCCGGCUAACUUCGUGCCAGCAGCCGCGGUAAUACGAAGGGGGCUAGCGUUGCUCGGAAUUACUGGGCGUAAAGGGAGCGUAGGCGGACUGUUUAGUCAGAGGUGAAAGCCCAGGGCUCAACCUUGGAAUUGCCUUUGAUACUGGCAGUCUUGAGUACGGAAGAGGUAUGUGGAACUCCGAGUGUAGAGGUGAAAUUCGUAGAUAUUCGGAAGAACACCAGUGGCGAAGGCGACAUACUGGUCCGUUACUGACGCUGAGGCUCGAAAGCGUGGGGAGCAAACAGGAUUAGAAACCCGUGUAGUCC
rnacentral:rRNA from 1 species